rnacentral:lncRNA from 1 species
UUCAAAUGACUCGUGACCUCAUUGCUAGUCGUAGCAAUACAAACAAACAUGGUAUAGACAAAAUCAACAUCACACCAAACAUAAGAACAAACUGCAUAGUACUAAUCUAUGUGUUGCUACGAGAUCGUGGGUUCGCGAACCACUAAAUUCAGAGUUACGGUUGAGGAGUUAUGAUUUAUGGUAGAUCUAUGUGAUGAAGCAAUUGAAACUAGGUCUUGAGUUUAUUUUACAAAGAUAAUCUAAUGAAAUAAUCAUUUCACCUUUAAUCUUAAUUAUAACUUGACUAGAGAUUAUAUUUUAAUCAAAUUAUAAUUAUAAGAUCCGAAUACUAUAUUAAUAUUAGAAAAGUUAAACCAUAAAACAUAGAUUAAUCAAAUUAGUUACCUAAUUAUAAAAGUAUGGGAUAUCAUAUAAUCAUUGUUGCUAUUGUGUAGUAAAUAUUUAUAUGAAGCUAACGCAACUGGAACGAGUCAAUUCAGAAUUAAAACAGAGGAGUUAUAAAUUUCUGAAGGUUUUAUGUAUUUGAUACAAGAUUAAUUAAGAGAUAUAUUUUAAUAUGGCUUUCAUGUCAAAACAGAGACACUAGUUGAUAAACAAUAAUAUUACAAAACUAUAGAAACUGGAAUUACUCAAUUUGGAAUUAGUAUGAAUUUCCUAUGGAUUAAACAAAUUCUAUUCAUUAUUUUAUAUUAAAAAUAUAUUUCCAAUUCAAUUUCUCUAAUUUACAAACUCUCUGGACUGGGCGCAUGAAAACCAGAGAGUGCAGGGGCCUCGGUGUAACAAUUCCUAAGACACAGAGCGACUGGCGUCAGGACUGCGGGUUAAAUCUCUAAAAACUGAGGGGCUCAAUCGCUAAACCUACCGGCCGAAGCGGUAUCAGUUGAUAUGGAUCGUCCCAUCAAAUGCGAGCGGCGAGGAUUAAAUCAGCGCCCCUCACGAACCGGUAUGCUUCUACGGCCGUUGGAUCCUGGAUCGAGGAUCCAGAUUUAAUUCUCCCAAGUUCUAGUUCCCACCGUACGAUGCGAGAUUGACGGUUCAGAUCGUGUUGAACGAAACAGUAUGCUAUGUUCUAAUCUCGUCCGCCCGCGUCCGAUCCGACGGCCAGUAUUUCUCCCUCACAUUGCUUCAACAGGACACCGGAGCCAGCACCAGGCACACUGGCGCCGCCGCCGACCGCGGCAAUCCCCCUGCCCAAUUCCGGUGACCAAGUCCAAUCGCGACUCUCCCCUGGGCGCAACCUAUUGCCUAACGCAUGGCGAACCUGACCCUAAGCUCAAUUCCGUGGAUGGGGCCCUGCGCACACUAGUUCUUCGCAAUGACGCGGUCCGGCUACGCCGUAGCAAUUACGUCGGCGAGAAUCCAACCCUCCAUAGCCCCAACACGGUCAUAUGUGGGCGCAAAUCGGUACUACGGACCAAAUGAACACGGUGGGGAAAGAAAUUUUACCGCAGAGGGAGUGGUAGAUCGACCCCGACGGUGAAGCCCGCGUCCACGGCCUUCUUCUUCGAUUCUGUUGGGCAAUUCACCCUCCACAGCCGUCUUCCGAUGCUAGAUCUCACUCGUGUGUGUUCCCGCUUUCUGGCACUACCCGCGACCACCACACGCACACCUCAGCAGCGGCGGCGGGACGAUACUACCCGAUUUAUCCCCUUCGAGCUCUCCCUGGUAAUGGCGGCCGACUCUUUUGAGUUCUAGAUAACGGAAGGUGGUCAAGGGUUUCGGGUGAUGGGAACGUGGCCUUAAUACGUGCAGGUGUGCG